rnacentral:rRNA from 1 species
AUCCCSCGKGAAGGAUGMCGGUCCUAUGGAUUGUAAACUUCUUUUGUAUAGGAAUAAACCUAGAUMCGUGUAUCUAGCUGAAGGUACUAUACGAAUAAGCACCGGCUAACUCCGUGCCAGCAGCCGCGGUAAUACGGAGGGUGCAAGCGUUAUCCGGAUUUAUUGGGUUUAAAGGGUCCGCAGGCGGACCGAUAAGUCAGUGGUGAAAUCUCAUAGCUUAACUAUGAAACUGCCAUUGAUACUGUCGGUCUUGAGUAAAUUAGAGGUAGCUGGAAUAAGUAGUGUAGCGGUGAAAUGCAUAGAUAUUACUUAGAACACCAAUUGCGAAGGCAGGUUACCAUGAUUUAACUGACGCUGAGGGACGAAAGCGUGGGUAGCGAACAGGAUUAGAUACCCUGGUAGUCCACGCCGUAAACGAUGCUAACUCGUUUUUGGGGCGCAAGCCUCAGAGACCAAGCGAAAGUGAUAAGUUAGCCACCUGGGGAGUACGUUCGCAAGAAUGAAACUCAAAGGAAUUGACGGGGGCCCGCACAAGCGGUGGAUUAUGUGGUUUAAUUCGAUGAUACGCGAGGAACCUUACCAAGGCUUAAAUGGGAAUUGACAGGUUUAGAAAUAGACUCUCCUUCGGGCAAUUUUCAAGGUGCUGCAUGGUUGUCGUCAGCUCGUGCCGUGAGGUGUUAGGUUAAGUCCUGCAACGAGCGCAACCCCUGUCACUAGUUGCUAACAUUCAGUUGAGGACUCUAGUGAGACUGCCUACGCAAGUAGAGAGGAAGGUGGGGAUGACGUCAAAUCAUCACGGCCCUUACGCCUUGGGCCACACACGUAAUACAAUGGCCGGUACAGAGGGCAGCUACACAGCGAUGUGAUGCGAAUCUCGAAAGCCGGUCUCAGUUCGGAUUGGAGUCUGCAACUCGACUCUAUGAAGCUGGAAUCGCUAGUAAUCGCGCAUCAGCCAUGGCGCGGUGAAUACGUUCCCGGGCCUUGUACACACCGCCCGUCAAGCCAUGGAAGUCUGGGGUACCUG